UACAGAGGGUGCAAGCGUUGUUCGGAAUUAUUGGGCGUAAAGAGCGUGUAGGCGGCCAGGUAGGUCCGUUGUGAAAACUCGAGGCUCAACCUCGAGACGUCGGCGGAAACCCUCUGGCUAGAGUCCGGAAGAGGAGAGUGGAAUUCCUGGUGUAGCGGUGAAAUGCGCAGAUAUCAGGAAGAACGCCCGCGGCGAAAGCGCGUCCCUGGACCCCGCCUGACGCUGAGACGCGAAAGCGUGGGGAGCAAACAGG
rnacentral:rRNA from 1 species